rnacentral:rRNA from 1 species
AGAAUCAACGCUGGCGGCGUGCCUAACACAUGCAAGUCGAACGAGAAAGGGGAGCAAUCCCUGAGUAAAGUGGCGCACGGGUGAGUAACACGUGACUAACCUACCCUGGAGUGGGGGAUAACUGAGGGAACCUUAGCUAAUACCGCAUAACACCUACGGGUCAAAGGAGCAAUUCGCUUUGGGAGGGGGUCGCGGCCGAUUAGUUAGUUGGCGGGGUAAUGGCCCACCAAGACUGUGAUCGGUAU